CGUAACGCGUAUGCAACCUACCUUCAUCUGGGGGAUAGCCCGGAGAAAUCCGGAUUAAUACCGCAUAAAAUCACAGGAUGGCAUUAUCCAAUGAUCAAACAUUUAUGGGAUGGAGAUGGGCAUGCGUGUCAUUAGCUAGUUGGCGGGGUAACGGCCCACCAAGGCGACGAUGACUAGGGGAUCUGAGAGGAUGGCCCCCCACACUGGUACUGAGACACGGACCAGACUCCUACGGGAGGCAGCAGUAAGGAAUAUUGGUCAAUGGAGGCAACUCUGAACCAGCCAUGCCGCGUGCAGGAAGACUGCCCUAUGGGUUGUAAACUGCUUUUAUUCGGGAAUAAACCUUAUUACGUGUAAUAAGCUGAAUGUACCGAAGGAAUAAGGAUCGGCUAACUCCGUGCCAGCAGCCGCGGUAAUACGGAGGAUCCAAGCGUUAUCCGGAUUUAUUGGGUUUAAAGGGUGCGUAGGCGGCCUGUUAAGUCAGGGGUGAAAGACGGUAGCUCAACUAUCGCAGUGCCCUUGAUACUGAUGGGCUUGAAUGGACUAGAGGUAGGCGGAAUGAGACAAGUAGCGGUGAAAUGCAUAGAUAUGUCUCAGAACACCGAUUGCGAAGGCAGCUUACUAUGGUCUUAUUGACGCUGAGGCACGAAAGCGUGGGGAUCAAACAGGAUUAGAUACCCUGGUAGUCCACGCCCUAAACGAUGAACACUCGCUGUUGGCGAUACACAGUCAGCGGCUAAGCGAAAGCGUUAAGUGUUCCACCUGGGGAGUACGCUCGCAAGAGUGAAACUCAAAGGAAU
rnacentral:rRNA from 1 species